UCGAGUUUGGCUUGCAAUGAAAAUGGAAUUGAGAAAAUACAAUAAAAAUGGACACAAAUAUAUACUUGGUUCAUUCAAUUUUGGCUACGUCCAUGGACAAGUAUAGGAGAAUUUUACUAUAACAGGAGAAUUACAGGAAUACUCUCUAAAUACAAGAAGAUAACAAACAAUUAAUCUCACUUGUAAUAAGAGAAGCUAAGUAGGAAACACUUAGGAGAAAACAAUAUUUUUU
rnacentral:lncRNA from 1 species